UAUAAGUGCAACCAUAAGUUUUCGCGUUCAACUUUGAUCGUUCGUCUUAUUUGAAACUUUUUUAUAAUUAGUAUUUUCGUUGUUAUGAGAUGAUAAAACAUGAAUAGUACUUUACUCGUGACUUACUCGUGACUUAUGUUUUUAAUUUUUUUAAAAAAAUUUCAAAUAAGACGGACGGUCAAAGUUGGAUUUAUAAUGUGACGGAGGUAGUAGCU
rfam:Oryza rufipogon genomic scaffold, chr04